AGUUGUUUCUUGCCAGACAGAAUGCUAUCGAACUAAAUUUUCUUUAACCAUCUUAAAAUCUAUUUCUUUAUCUGGUGAUAGUGGGUGCCAUUAGGACAGGAUCUCCUUCUUAACAGCCUGGAACUAUGCUGGUCCUGG